rfam:Morus notabilis contig21961, whole genome shotgun sequence.
UUUAGGAGAUGAUGAUUCUAUACAAACUUUAUCUAAGCAUCAGCAAUGCUGACUAUUUGCACGUCAGUCUGAUCCCAAA